AAGAAGCUUCGACCAGGGUUCGAUUCGAGCGUAGCGAGAAAGCGUUGCCGCAGGCAACGACCCGAAGGGCGAAGCGCGAAGCGCUGAGUAAUCCUUCCCCCACCACCA
rnacentral:sRNA from 1 species